rnacentral:tRNA from 3 species
GGCCAGUUAGCUCAGUUGGUAGAGCAGCGGACUGAAAAUCCGCGUGUCCGUGGUUCGAUUCCGCGACUGGCCA